rnacentral:misc_RNA from 1 species
GUAACCAUGGCAACAACUCUGGAUAUGGUAACAGAGACCGACAGGAUUGGAAGAGUGGUGGAGGAAGAGGAGGAGGGUACCAGCAAGGAGGUGGAAGAGGAGGGUACCAGCAAAGUGGAGGAGGGUACCAGCAAAGUGGAAGAGGAUACCAGCAAAGUGGAGGAGGGUACCAGCAAGGAGGUGGAAGAGGAGGGUACCAGCAAUACAGUCAGAGUAACCAAGGCUACCAGCAACAGCAGCAGAGAGGCUAUGAUAGAGGUGGUUACCAAGGCAACAGCUACAACACCAGAGGAAAUUCUGGAUACAACAAUCGAGGAGGGGGAUACAACAGAGGGGGCUACCAGCAGCGGUCUUUCGAGUGAUUUGAGGACAUGGCUGUGAUUUCAGUGAUUUCACCUGCUGCUGCUGUGGCAGGGUCGGGUGUGAACAGCUUGGACUUGAGAGUCCGUUAUCUCAGCAACAUUUUACAAUCCGUCAGUCAGCAUUUUAUUUGUGUGAAGGAGGAAGUCAGAACAUCAGAACAAUUUUUUUAACCAUAAGAUAAAUUAUUCAUAGACUAUACCUGUUACAAUUUAUGUAAUUUUCCGGAGAAUAAAAAAAGAUUUUAUGUAAUGAUG